rnacentral:rRNA from 1 species
ACUCAAAUGAAUUGACGGGGGCCCGCACAAGCGGUGGAGCAUGUGGUUUAAUUCGACGCAACGCGAAGAACCUUACCGGCUUUUGACAUGGGUAGUAUGGGCUGAAGAGAUUUAGUCCUUCACUUUGGGUGGCUACUACACAGGUGCUGCAUGGCUGUCGUCAGCUCGUGUCGUGAGAUGUUGGGUUAAGUCCCGCAACGAGCGCAACCCUUAUUUUCAGUUGCCAUCAUUUAGUUGGGCACUCUGAGGAAACCGCCGGUGACAAGCCGGAGGAAGGCGGGGAUGACGUCAAGUCCUCAUGGCCCUUACGGGCCGGGCUACACACGUGCUACAAUGGCAACCACAACGGGAUGCGAACCAGCGAUGGGGAGCUAAUCCUUUAAAAGUUGUCUCAGUUCGGAUUGCACUCUGCAACUCGGGUGCAUGAAGUUGGAAUCGCUAGUAAUCGCGGAUCAGCAGGUCGCGGUGAAUACGUUCCCGGGCCUUGUACACACCGCCCGU